AGUUUACACAUAUUUUAAUAACUGCAUGCAUUUUCCUGGCACCCACACUACCAACAAAGCAGCUACUAUGCUAGUAGCGGCUAAUGUAGCUCUGAGCAUCUUGCCUCAAUAAUCAAAAGUGACUCAAUUUCAGCUGUUUAUGUGCUUUUUAGAAUUGUUUUACUGUAUAGCUAGGUUGGGUCUUGGCUUUUUUUUCUUAAAAGGUUAGUUUUCAAGGUUUAAUAGUAACCAUAUGUACCACUUUAGCUCAAUAAUGGUAUUGAGGUAUAUGCUAGCAGCUAUACCUGAAUGUUGUUGUGUUUGGAAGAUAGAUGUAUAAAGAAAAAGAGAUUUUAGUCUAUUUUCUAAAAUUUCUUGGUUAAAUUAUGGUUCAAAUAAAAUUAACCAAAUUUAAUUGCAGUUCAUACAAACUACAAAAUUAUUAUCAGUCAUCAGAGGUAGUAUCAGCCCUACUUACUGUUUUUGUUUAAGAGAGUGACAAGCAUAUACUGUGUUAUGUAACCAUGUGUGCAGAUGAAGCAGGCCCAGGGUGCCAACGGUAUUAUUUACCAGACCUGAUUCACACACACUUCAAACACACCAUUGCGACAUCUGUCAGUUCCCAUGCUGUGCCAACACAUUUUUUUUUAUUUGUUUGUUUAGUUCAGAGGAGGAGGGAGUCCUUCAGGUCAGGCCAGUAAAAUGUGAGAACUGGUUCCUGCCCUGCUUCUGCAAGGGCCUCCUCCUGAUGGGACGUGCCGGGAACACCUCACCCAGGAGGCGCCAGAGCAGCGGCUCUACUCUGAGCCCCUCCCGGAUGGCCGAACUUCUCACCCUAUCUGUAAGGGAGAGGCCAGCCAACCUUCGGAGGAAGUCCAUUUCACCCGCUUCUAUCCGGGAUCUUGUUCUUAUUACUAAACAAUUAAAUAAACUUACUAAACAAUUUAAUGAAUGCUACACAUGUGAUAUAUCUAUGUAAAUAAAAAAAAUAUACUGAAAAUAAUGGCAAGUAUAGUAAAAUGGGUUUCAAAAGCACAAAUAACGAUUUACAAAUUCAAAGACAAGACGUAAAAAAACAAGAUGCUCUGCUUCAGUUCAUCAUUUACGGUACUCUGAGGUAAUUAUGGGUCACUCCAUCUCAAAUCAGCACAAAUCAUGCAGAUCUACGAUUUGUAUUAAAAAAUCGAGGUCCAAAGGUUGGACAUACAUAAUGGCUGUUGUGAAAAUUUUGGUUCUUUGGAGUACUUUUCAAAAUUUUCACUGGUCUUUCUUACCAUUGCAGCGAAUCAGGGUCUGUUUGGGGACAGAUGAAAUGAGCUGUAUGUGUCUUUAUAAAUGAGUAAUACAUUUUAACAAAGGCCCUGAAUCCCCCUGUUGAGAACCUAACAUCUUCUGUCAAGCAAGACUGGGAAAUACAUUUCUUGCAAAGCUAGUGCAGUCGCUCUGCUCGG
ensembl:lncRNA